rnacentral:rRNA from 1 species
GCCAGUACAAGUACCGUGAGGGAAAGUUGCAAAGAACUUUGAAGAGAGAGUUCAAGAGAACGUGAAAUCGCUGGAGUAUGCGGAGAGAGUUGACGUAACCCGGUAGCUAAGUUGUUCUUCGGAGCGAUGGUGCUGCUUAUGGUUGCAUUGGUGGCGUUGGUUAGCAACGACAGCUGCGUAGUUUAGCCCACUUCGGUGGUGUCUAGCUUGUGGUCUUGUUGUUGUCGGCUAGCGUGUAAGCCCUGUUCACAGGGUGCCAAUGUCCUAGUCGACCACCUCUCUGACCCGUCUUGAAACACGGACCGAGGAGUGUAUCUAGUACGCGAGUCAAAGGGUGGAAAACCCCAUGGCGCAAUGAAAGUAAAUCCGGUUCAUCCGGUGACAUAGGACCCGUUCUUCUGAGCGGAGCACUAUGGCCCUGUCUUGACUGCUUGCAGUUGGGCAGAGGUAGAGCGUACUGGAUGCGACCCGAAAGAUGGUGAACUAUACCUGAGCAGGAUGAAGCCAGAGGAAACUCUGGUGGAAGUCCGUAUCGCUUCUGACGUGCAAAUCGAUCGAUAGACUUGGGUAUAGGGGCGAAAGACCAAUCGAACC